rnacentral:rRNA from 1 species
AGAGUUUGAUCCUGGCUCAGAUUGAACGCUGGCGGCAUGCCUUACACAUGCAAGUCGAACGGCAGCACGGGAGCAAUCCUGGUGGCGAGUGGCGAACGGGUGAGUAAUGUAUCGGAACGUACCAUUCAGUGGGGGAUAACGUAGCGAAAGUUACGCUAAUACCGCAUAUUCUGUGCGCAGGAAAGCAGGGGAUCGCAAGACCUUGCGCUGAUUGAGCGGCCGAUAUCAGAUUAGCUAGUUGGUGAGGUAAAGGCUCACCAAGGCGACGAUCUGUAGCGGGUCUGAGAGGAUGAUCCGCCACACUGGAACUGAGACACGGUCCAGACUCCUACGGGAGGCAGCAGUGGGGAAUUUUGGACAAUGGGGGCAACCCUGAUCCAGCCAUNNNNNNNNNNNNNNNAAGAAGCACCGGCUAACUACGUGCCAGCAGCCGCGGUAAUACGUAGGGUGCGAGCGUUAAUCGGAAUUACUGGGCGUAAAGCGUGCGCAGGCGGUUUUGUAAGACAGGCGUGAAAUCCCCGGGCUCAACCUGGGAACUGCGCUUGUGACUGCAAGGCUAGAGUAUGGCAGAGGGGGGUGGAAUUCCACGUGUAGCAGUGAAAUGCGUAGAGAUGUGGAGGAACACCAAUGGCGAAGGCAGCCCCCUGGGCCAAUACUGACGCUCAUGCACGAAAGCGUGGGUAGCAAACAGGAUUAGAUACCCUGGUAGUCCACGCCCUAAACGAUGUCAACUAGGUGUUGGGUGGGUAAAACCAUUUAGUACCGGAGCUAACGCGUGAAGUUGACCGCCUGGGGAGUACGGCCGCAAGGUUAAAACUCAAAGGAAUUGACGGGGACCCGCACAAGCGGUGGAUGAUGUGGAUUAAUUCGAU